UUUCUUUUUGAUUACUUGCAAUUUCUCUUUGUUGAAUCCAGAAAUCUGAAUGUGCGAAUGAUCGUUCUUGGUAUUAAUUAGUACACAUAGUCUACAUUACUACAUAAGCAGAUGAAACAAUUUAGCUGAAAUUCAGGUUCUUGAUAUUAAUUAGUACACAUAGUCUACAUUACUACAUAAGCAUAUGAAACAAUUUUGGCUGAAAUCAAGUUCUUGAUAGUAAGAAUUUGUUUUCAUAUACUAUAACAACACAUUCUUCAAAACUUUAUUUUGUUUAGAGCUUGAUUUUGGUACAUUACAAUGUCUCAGAAGAAAGGCCACAUAGGCUAUUGCAUGGGAAACAGGGAUGUGGUCAAGGAAAAAAAAGUACACCUUUUCUCAAGAGCUCUGAUUUUGGAAAGUCAGCAUUUGACAUUAAUCAGAAAGGAAGUAGAAUAACAUCAUGUAUUGCAACUCUAGAGAAUGAUAUCACAGGACCCGGUGAUGGAAAAAUUCAAUUCAUUUGUGGAAUAUAAUGCAGGCUUGUAAAGAUAAAAGCCAGGAGGACUUGAGGUUUUAGGACUACCAGUUAGGUGAUAAAGGAAAAGAAAGUACAACACCCUCUGCUCAAGAGAUCUAGUCUUGGGAAGUCCGCAUUUAGUACUAAUCUGAAAGGAAGUAGAACAACAUUAUUUAUUGCAACUCCAGAGAUAGAUUGCACAAGAUCGGAGGUGGACAAGUUCAAUCCAUUAGUGGAAUGCAGUCUUAUCAAGAAAAAAUCCAGAGGGAGUUGAGGUUUGAGGACGACAGUUAGGUAAUAAAGGUGUACGUAACUUGAUUUCUUGUCUGUAGAUAUCAAAGAAAUCUACCUUGCAUUCAAUUAACACUUUUUAUACUUCAUGGUGGGUGAUUGGCAGGUCAGAAAGGUUGGUGUUCAUAGUGUUUCCAGUACACAGGGAGUGUCAUCGACAACACUCUAGGCCUUUCAUAUCACUUGUAUUUAACCAAUCAACUGUUGAUCAAACUUUUUAUCCUCAUUUUAAAUACAUUUGCAGUGGAAAGAACAGGGCUUGACAUAAUAAAAUGAAAAAUUCUACAGCAACUGCAUCUACCCAUUUCCGAAGUCAUAACAGUUCAUUUUCCAUAUAUUUCCCCCAAUACAUUAUUGAUAAACUCUUUUGCACUUGCAGUAGAGUUGAAUCUAGUGCCUCAGACGUUUCUCCUUUCUCCAUGGAUCCAUUCAAGACCGUUUUCACCUUUAAAACCAACUUCCAGUUCUUCCACUACGUCCAUUUUUUCUCCAUCAAGGAAUGCAUGGGCUUUAUCAACAUCUGCGACUGUAUCACAUAACAAUCUCCACUGCCUCCAUGUUCAGUGUCACCUUCCAAGUAUACUUCGUUAACAAAACUAUCAGGCCACUCCUGUUUUGUCAAAAGAACUUUUCUCCUUCUCCCGUUAUACCUAUAGGUGGCCAGCCACAAUCAACAUUAUGUUUCAAGCACUCCACUUGCUGCCAGUUAAAAUGCUUUUAAGUGUUUCUGAACGUUUAUGCAAUUAUAUCUCAUUUAUACUUAUCUGCCAUUGACUUUCAGUCAUAUAAAUAAUAAAAAAGGCACCUUAUGGUCGAUAAAAUCGGUGAAGAACUUCUAUUGUGGUGUUGUAUAUCUAAGCUAUUGCUAUUCUUGCAGCCUUUGUUCUUUGGUCCUCUGCAGCCAGAAAUGACUCCAUAAAGUUGGAGGAACACUUCAACAACCAACGCUUCUCACCCAUCAACUGUUACUCAGUACAGUUUGCCUGGCUCUUUUGAGGUUGAUAGUAUGCUGGAUUGUAAUCCAUGUAACUAAUCCUCCCAGCACCUGUUAUUUAAGAAGGGUCUAGUUGCUCAGAAAUUGGACUAGGAGUUGGUUAGCCAAGUAUCAACGACCAACAGAAUGUGGCUCAAGGAUCCUACCAAGUUUAGGUUUACGUUCUUGAACAAUGAUCUAUUGCCUUUUCCAUUCAGCAUUGCAUUGUACAUUAUCCUUAUGUGCUUGUGAAAGACAUGAUGCUUUUUGGAUGAAGUGUACAUAUGGAGAAGUGAGAACCUUGUGAGUUAAUUUGAUGUCUGUUCGGUGUGCUUUGUGACGUUGGUACCUUUGCCUUUGGUGCCUAGAUUGUUCUUUUUUUAAUUGUGUCUCUGGUCUUUUUCUCUAAAAACAUUUUCUUGCUACUUGUUUCAGCAUCCUUGGCAUACUCGUAUCGGUAAUCUUAACAUCUUUGACGCACGUGACUUUGGUAUUUGUGAUUAUUAUAUCCAUGUGCUUUUGCUUCGUUUAUCACUUUGGUCUUCGAGUGCAACAAACUGUGUUUUGACUCUUCUUUUCUCUUGAGAUAACAUAUGGCUUAAUGUUCUUUUUGUUCUUUCUUUUGGGGCAUGCUUUUGUAGGGUGCACGGCAGCUUUGGAUGCUGAACAUUACUUGCAAGAAAUCGGUGCCCUAGAGGGGCCUGUCUCUUCUUUUUCUUGCCCCUGUUAUCCUUAUUUGUACUUUCUCAUGCACCAGCUAUACCUUAACAUAUUUGCAGGUUUUACUUUCCGAGAAUCAUGGAAGUGAAUCCAUCACCAGUUACGCCUCCUGCUGAAACACAACCUUCAGUCCAAAUCUCGGUAGAGCACCCAAAUUUGGCAACAUCCAUCCUGUACGGAGUUUCUAGUUUACCUGUCUCUAACAACCCUGCUAUGAUCAGGCAAAAAUAUUCAUCGAUAAUUCGACAUUCAUCUCUAAGUAAAACAUAUGUUGCACCGAAAUACAAACCUACAAGUGAUAUACCAAAGGGGAGAAGUUGGAUUUUAUGUGAGGCUUGUUUAGUAGUUUGUGUCAUGCUUUGGUUGAUCGAUCAGAAGUGUAAGAAUAACACAUAUCAUAUGCAAAGAUUGCAAUUCUCUUUUUCAUGGAUGAAGAAAACGCUUCUGACGUAAAAAGGACAGAAGUCAUCAUCAUUCAAAGGGACUGGGAUUUUUCUAAAAUUUUCCCUUCUACCAACAAUGUUGAAGUUUGAGGUGGGAAUUCACUCAGGGUUCAAGGUGGCAAUAUUCCCUUCUACCACACAGUUCAAUUUUUUGGUUUAUUUUAUGAAACAGGGAUCAGGAACCUCUAAUUGGUGUUACGGCAUUCCAUGAGAGGUGUUCAUAUCCUUUGCUAACAACAAAAACAAAUCCAAUGUUAGUCCCAUAUGUGUGGUCUGGGAUAGAGUGUUCACAGACCCCUACCUUGUACACGUAAAGAGGCUCUUUCCAUAAGAUCCUCAGCACGAGUAAUGCAUAUCAAAGCAGUUAAAAAUUUGGUCUUUUCUACUAUUGUAAGAUAAUUGUAUCAGCAUAAAACAUCUAAAGAACAAUGUAAUAUUAUAGAGUUAUAGAUGAUAAGGGUAGGAUAAAUCUUAAAGGUGCAGAAAUAACUAGCAUUCCUAAAAUUUAUUUGAAAGUGCUUUCAAAUUGCGGCUUUCUAGUUAUGUUGAGAAGUCUAUAGGAAGCUUACCUGAGAUUUGGUGCUCUAUUAACCACGUUACCUUUUAUACAGGGGAACGAGAAGAAAUUGUGUGGAGAGUAUAUUUGAAGUAUUUCCAAAUAGAAUAAGUUGGUAUUUUAUCUUAACCUACAGGUUAUUUGCAUCUUAAUGUAUAUGUUUCUAUGUGUUUAUUUAUUGUAACAGGAUAAUUGUUAUUGCACUUUCUGACAUGACUUGAUCACAGGUAUGGAUUUAGAAAAGAAGUUGUUGAAUGCCACGAUAUAGCUUAUGAUGAACUAUCUAUAGACAUCUCUUCAUAGUUCCAUGGGGAAAUUUCCCUGUGUUGAGAAUAAAAUGACAAAAAAUGUACUGCUGGAGUCAUUGGGCUACUAAAACUGGAUCCCAACAUAUGUAGUUGCUCAAGUCAUGUGUUAUUUAUUUUAAUAUAGUUUGAAGUUUUUCAAGAAUAAAAACUGGUACACCAUGUUUUCGACUUGCCUGCAAGUUGAAAUUGUUAAAAGGAGAUAAGGAGAUGGAGCAAAGAGGUGACACAGCUAAUAAAUGAGAAGAGGGAGAUUGGGCAUGUGGAAAGUAUGAGGGUGCUCGAAUAAAGGGAGAAGGUUAGAUAGGAGUAGGCAAGGGGGGAGCUUAAGGCUCUAGUGGUUGCUGAAGAGUCUAGUUGGAGGCAAAAAUUGAGGGCAUUGUGGUUGACAGAAGGGGAAUUCUAACAAAAUAGGUGUGUGAGGGGGAGGAGGAAGGAAAACUUUGCGUGAGGGGGAGGAGGAAGUGGAGGAGGCCAUUGUAUGGUUUUAUGAACAUUCUUUCAAGGAAGAUAUCAGAUGGAGAUGAAAAUAUUGGGGGCGCUAGUAUUUAACCUAAUAGGCGAGUGGGUGAAGGAGUGGCUAGAAAGGGCUGUAGAAGAAGAAGAGGCGAGGGAUAGUUGUCUUGGUUACAAGGCUCCAAGUCCUGAUGGAUUCUCCUUUGCUUUUUUACAACAAUGUUGGAUGAAAGUCAAAUGUGAGCUGUUGGUGACCAUUGCAGAAUUCAGGGGAGUAUGAGAAAAGUCUUCAUGCAUCCUUUGUUACUAAUGUGCCAAAGAAGGAAAGUGUGACAAGUAUAAAGGACUAUAAACCUAUUAGUCUGGUAGGAAGCAUUUUCAAGAUUUUAUUUAAGGUGCGUUCAAAUAAAUUUAAAAGGUUCAGAAGUACUUUAAAAUUCACUGCCCUUUUUCUGGGUGGGCUGGGGUUGGGUGAUAGAGGGGAGAUGGGUUGAAGAAGCUUUGCUCAAGAUCCACUGAGUUUGGAACCUCGGGGAUUUCUCCGGUUAUAAAAAAUAUACUUAAUUGAAUUGUGCCUAUGUCUGCUGAUGCCGGUAGAUAUAGCAACACGUCUUUCAAAUAUAUGAUAUUUGUUUGAUUUCAAUUUUGUAGAGCUUUCUAGAAGUAGAUUUAUUAACCGAAACAAUUUUAAGCAGAGAUGUAGCUUAGGUUUUCGAGAGCCGUGAUUGACCUCUAGGAUAUCCUAUUUUUGCUCCACAGCGAGCUCUUCGAGAAUAUAGUUGCUGGCUGGAGACCUCGAGCAAUUAAUGUCAGCAGUAAUUAAAUAAGGUACCUCUAGUAGUUAUGAAAUAUCUAAGGAUGUAUAGAACACAAAAGAGAUUUAACAUACGUUAUAACCUGACUUGCUAUUGAAAUUCUCUAUAUUAGUUCUAGACUGCAAAGAAGAUUGUCAAUGAGGAAACAGUUGUAUAUUUGUAUUUUCUUGUAUAUACCAAAUACAGAACAGAGGUGGCAUGCCAAUUCUUAGAUAAAAGCCAAAGAGAUGUUUGGAAAAAGAAGUUUCUUAAAAUUAAGAAGUGUAUUGUAUCCGUAGAAAUAAAUAAACUGAUUCUUGAAUUGUGUUUUCAACCGAUCAAAUUGUGUCUCUACCUCUGUGUGAUGAGUCCAGUAGUUGUUUACUACUUUGGUGCAUUCCACAUUUUCUGUUUCAGUUUAUUUACAUGAAUGGAAACACCACACAAAUAGGAUGAUAAUGCAGCUGUUAUCUUAACUAGAAGAAUUCUGAUUUAGUUUUCUGUCAGUUAGUCAAAUGAAACUAUUCAUUUUGCUCAUUUAGGACUUUAGGUGCUGAUCUUCCAGAUGGGCUCAGUUGUGCCGUUUCAAGUAUCAAUAUGUUUAUACUCGAAGGAUAGAAACAUAACCUCUUAAUUACAAUUUUUUUUUGAUGGAGGGAUAAGUUACCCAAGAGAUUAAGAGGAAAAGGGACAGAAGUAGAUGUGUUAUUUUCAACAGAUGCAAAGGAAGGAAACAUAGAUUCAGUUACUUGACGAAAAAGAAAAGGCAAUGAAGUGGAACCAACAAAAACAUGGAGGAGUUACGGAUAAAUUGUUGUAUCUUUCCUUAUGAUUGUAGUCUUUCUUGAUAUAAUGGUAAGGUUACUAAAUAGAUUAGCAGGUACCGGUGCUUUGAUUUGUCCUCAUUCUUUUAACUUUUAUUCUCUUAACUUUGAGAUGCUUUUAACGAUUCCUUUCUAGCGCUAAUUUAAAGUUAGGACUUUUUUGGCUGUGGCGGUUAUCUGAUUACUAGUUUCUUUAUCAGGUUGAACAAGCAUGGUUACCAUUACAACUAAAAUAUUGGAAUCAAGGGGAUAGAAAAUAUAUUAAGCUAAAGAGAACAUCUUUUGACACUUCAAGAAGUAAUUAAUUUAUAGAUACGAGUAGUGAUGAAAAGACAAUGGUAGAUUUCUUAUGAUGAUAAUGUUAUAACCGUAACAUGUAUAUUUUGAUGAUAAGUUGAUUUAAGCUAGAUUUUAUUGCGUUAAGAUGUAGCACUUAAAAUGAUGACUGAAUGUGAUGAAAUGGGACAAAGUGAAUUUGAUAUCACAUGGAGGAAUGUUGUCUCAAUUGAGAGAAAUAUUGAAAAGAACAUGAUUGAAUCGUUGUGUCUUACAUCAUUACACGUAAACCCUAUUUAUAGACACUAGAAUAAUUUUUUAAUCAAGUAGGAUUGUAUUUUACAAUUCCUAUUUCUAUUUGUAUUCCUAUUCCUAUUCCUAUUCUAAAUUGGAUUGUAUAAACCUAUUCCUAUUCUAAUGGGAUUGUAUAAACUUAUUCAUGUUCUAACACUCCCCCUUAAUCUCGUGCGUACAAUUCAUGUACCUAGCUUGUUACAAAUGUAAUUAAUACGGGGAACAAUGAGGAACUUGGUGAGAUUAUUGCAAGUUGAUCAGUCAACUUCACAAAAUUGACAUUCAUUCUCAGUGUAGUGUCUUCUCAUUAAAUCUUGGAUUUGAUGCGUAUUGACAGACAAUCUCAAUGUGCUUAAUCUUUCUCAUGAGAUAUUGAAUUUGAUGUAUAAUGUCGAUAAAACAUAGUGUGAUAAAAUUACUAUGUUGUACUUUUCAAACCAAACUUUCAAACACUGUUUCAGACCAUACAGUGACUUACAUAAUCGACAUACAAGGCUACUAAACUCACCGUGAGCUACAAAGUGCUCAAACUCUAGUCUAAAGUAUAUGAAUCAUGCUCGAAUCAAUAGAUGAGUCGAUAUUAAACGAGAAAGUCACUGAAAAGUUGGCCGGAACAUGCUCCUAAGCCGGUAUAUUAGAUUUGAUGGAUAAUAGUGGUUAUAAUCUAACAAAUAACAUUAUAUGGGUAGGAUAGGAAUGGUAGCAUGACCCAACUAGAAAAUAGAAGGUCAUAUUGAUGGCACAACCCUAUUGAAAAAGAGAAAUAUAAUAUGAGUAGGGUUUGGAAUGAUGGCACAACCCUCAAAAAUCAAAUUUGAGGAUUCAUCGAAAUGACAAAUAGAAUUGCGCUGAUCAAAUUUGAGGAGUCACCGAAAAGACACGGUGCUAUGCAACUUAGAUAUAAAAAGUAGUUUGGAAAAAUCUACGGUUCUACGUAAAUUAAAUAUGAAAAGUAAUCUGGAGAGAUGCACAGUGCUACACAAAUUAAAUAUGAAAAAUUAGUAAACCGGAAAGAUGACGCGAUGCUGCACAAAAUAGAUAUAGAAAGUAGUCACCGAAAUGAUGACGCGGUGCUAAACAAAUGAAUAUGAAAAAGUAGUCAACGAAAAGAUAGCACGUUGCUACACAAAUACCAACGGAUAUGGGGUUGACACAAAACAAUCAUUGGAAAUUGACCUUGAUAACUUGUCUCACUGAAUUUUCUUUCUCUGAAUAUGGGGUUCAUGCAUAUAUCAUUGGUGUCAUUUUUGUUAACAUAAUUAUUGGCCAGACGGGCGGCAUAUACGGGUAAUAGCCACCCGCUGACAGCAGAAGCUCUUUGAUUUUCUACCAAGAUCGUAGAGGCUUUGAUACCAUGUGAGAAUUAUUGAAAAGAAUAUUAUUGAAUUGUUGUUGUGUCUACAUUAUUACAUUGAGACCCUAUUUAUUGACACUAUAAAACAAUCAUUUACCAAGUAGGAUACUACGUACUAUUUCUAUUCCUAUUUUAAAUAGGAUUGUAUAAACCCACUUCUAUUCUAAUAAGAUUGUAUAAACCUAUUCAUGUUCUAAAAGAUGUGCAGUCUUUUAUUAUGGUGCUUCUAAUAUUUUGUUGUGUGAGGAUUUUAGAAAAGUUCCAGCUAUUAUGUUGCUCUAAAUAAAUAAAAGUGCACUUGCGUUAACAAUUUAAGUUUUUAGAUGAGUUCUUUAAUAUGGUAUUAGAGCGGACAAAGAUUCAAUAUCUGAGUCUUAGUGUCACCCAUAACUAAAAUUAUUCCAUGUGCUUGGGAGCCCACAUGUAAGGGGUUUGAACCCCUUUGACAUUUCUUCAUUUGAAAAUAAUUCUCGUUGUGAAAACACAAAGCCAAGGGAGAUGCUCUUUGAAUAGGAAAAAGUGUGGAUUAAGACUUAAAAGUAUAAAUCUAUAUUUUGAAGAGUCCUAUGUUGCCACUUGGGAGCAUAAAUGAAACUCAGUACUAAAUUAUUCUCGGUCUCCGUUGCUCCUGGAUUAUUUAAUAAUGGCGCUCUAGCUUCUCUUUAGUGUAGCUAUUAUUGGAAGGUGUAGUGUCUUAUGGACUUGUCCUAGUAACUUAAAAAGAGAUCGAAGAGACUUUUUAGUAGACUUACUUUUAAACUUUUUUGUGGCUGAGCAUACCUUAUGCAGAGGCUGAUAUGCCUAUUUCUUCAAUAAUAAGAUGUUCAUCUCCAUAUACAGAAGAAAAUUCAAUAGCAGCAGCAUUUUUUAGAACAAUUUAUUGACAUACCCUUUAUGUAAUAUCCAUAUGCUGUGGAGCGAGUCCAUUAUCACAUGCAUCUGAUUUUCCAUCCUUAUUUCCAGUAGCUUCAUUUUGCAUAGCCACAAGAUCUAGUACAUUGUUGUUUCUCCUGAAACACAAUGCAGAUAUUACAGUUGCAAUGCCAAGCAUAUGUAUGUCAAAUGGCCUUUGUGAUGUUACAAUUUUAGUCUACUGUGUAGUCCACACAACUGACAAACUUGUAGGCAAGAAUGCAUUAUAAACUUUGGAUUUGACAUAUUAAAUGCAUCCAAAAAGCAGAAUAGACAUGUCUAAUAAUUCCAUCCAUAAAGCGGAAGAAACUAUGAAUAUCCAGAACAAGAUAGACUAGAUAGUCUCGAACUCCCAGACUGUUGCGCGUGUCUGUUGGGGAAAUCCGUAAAGUUGGUAAGCCCAAAUUGUUUUUAGCCAACAUUGCACUAGCUUGACAAUAGGAGCUGGCUUCACAUAUACCAGCUUAAAUGAUAUGCAUGCAUCUAAAAAUUCACUUAUAGAUGGAUUUUACUUAGAAACAUCCAUUGAGCAAGAGACAGUAUCUUCUGCCAUUGCUGAUUGAGGCGUCGAGUGUUCUAUAGUAGUAGUUGGUGAUACUAGCAGCGUAGGUUCAUGACCAAUCUCAUUAGGAGGAACUGCCAUUGCUGAUAGAGGCGUCGAGCGUUCUGUAGUAGUAGUUGGUGAUACUAGUAGCAUAGCUCCAAGACCAAUCUCAUUAGGAGGAAUGUAUUUGUUCCUUGCAUAAAUUAGAGUAACAGGUUCAUCUUCGUCAGAUAUUAUUUCAAAGUCUGGUCCCUGGAGAUAGUUAUCAAGUGUUCUCUGGAUUUGAGCAGGUGACAAAAUGCCAUGUCUAGGCUUUGAUAUCUUUCUUCUUGGGAGAGGAUCUUUGUCUGCUUCUCCAAAAAGAUGGUGAACAUUAGUGCACAUAAAACAAUAAGGUACUAAUACAAUUGAUAUUAUCUUUUUUUGUGUGUAGGAGUGGGGGGUAAGCUGUUGCAAAAAUUUGUAUGGUUAAAUAUAUUAGUUUUCCACUUUUUUAUAACCCUUACACUUAAGAAAGGAUGUGAUUCAUGACACGACCUAGAUACUAUCUUACAAGUCCUUGUUGCUCCCAGAUAUGAACUCCAAGAUAAACCUAUAGAGGUCCCUUCAGGGCUUCUAAACUCCUCUUCGGUGGUAAACUGGAAUACUGUACUCCUUAGCAAAGACAGGAAGGGGAGGCUGGGAAAUUGAAAUUUGAGAUUGCAAAAUGGAAGUCUUCUGAAGAAGUCAUUGUGGAGGUACAUUGAGGAGGGAAAUGCUUUCGGGAAAGAGGUGAUUAAAGUUGAGUAUGGUGAGCUAACCCCAUGGUGUACAGAAAGCACAGUUGAACCUUACGGGGUGUGGGAGUAUGGAGAACAAUCACAAGUUUGUGGUCACAAAUGAAGGCAGACUUUUAUAUCAAAGUGGGAAAUGACAGAAACAAGAUCCUGGAAGGAUAUCUGGAUAGAACAAUUUCCUCUUAGGAAUCUCUUUCAAAUUUGUAAGAUGCUAAUGUAGUUGCCUGUUGGGCCAGAAGUCAGAACAGGGAUGGGAUAUAGCCUUCGGAAGGCUUGUAAAUGAUUGGGAGGUGGAAUGGGUUGUAGAGUUACUUGGGAAGAUAGGUGGAAUGAGUAUGGAUUCAGUAAGCAGUGUCUACAGAAGAGGUAGAGCUGAUGGCUGGGACCCAAAACAUCUCUGAAACUAUUUCUGGAAUGGGGACAUUCCUAGAAUAGUGAUAUGCCUCACUUGGCUUAUGAUAAAGAGGGUCUGCUUCUCCAAAAAGAUGGUGAACAUUAGUGCACAUAAAACAAUAAGGUACUAAUGCAAUUGAUAUUAUCUUUGUUUGUGUGUGUAGGAGUGGGGGGUGAGCUGUUGCAAAAAUUUGUAUGGUUAAAUAUAUUAGUUUUCCACUUUUUUAUAACCCUUACACUUAAGAAAAGAUGUGAUUCAUGACACGACCUAGAUACUAUCUUACAAAUCCUUGUUGCUCCCAGAUAUGAACUCCAAGAUAAACCUUUAGAGGUCCCUUCAGGGCUUCUAAACUCCUCUCCGGUUGUAAAUUGGAACACUGUACUCCUUAGCAAAGACAGGAAGGGGAGGCUGGGAAAUUGAAAUUUGAGAUUGCAAAAUGGAAGUCUUCUGAAGAAGUCAUUGUGGAGGUACAUUGAGGAGGGAAAUGCUUUCGGGAAAGAGGUGAUUAAAGCUGAGUAUGGUGUGCUUAACCCCAUGGUGUACAGUGAGCACAGUUGAACCUUACGGGGUGUGGGAGAAUGGAGAACAAUCACAAGUUUGUGGUCACAAAUGAAGGCAGAGUUUUAUAUCAAAGUGGGAAAUGACAGUAAAAGAAGAUUCUGGAUAGAACAAUUUCCUCUUAGGAAUCUCUUUCAAAUUUGUGAGAUGCUAAUGUAGUUGCCUGUUGGGCCAGAGGUCAGAACAGGGAUGGGAUAUAGCCUUCGGAAGGCUUGUAAAUGAUUGGGAGGUGGAAUGGGUUGUAGAGUUACUAGGGAAGAUAGGUGGAAUAAGUAUGGAUUCAGUAAGCAGUGUCUACAGAAGAGGUCUCCAGCUGAUGGCUGGUACCCAAAACAUCUCUGAAACUAUUUCUGGAAUGGGGACAUUCCUAGAAUAGUGAUAUGCUUCACUUGGCUUGUGAUAAAGAGGGCAUGUUUAACGCAGCUUGAUAUUUUAAUCAUUUCCUCUUCGAGACAAGCUGAAGAGCCAUCCUGUCCAGAAACUUCUUUGCCAACUUCCAGCUUUUGGUCAUCACGAGAUAACAGAUGCGGCUUCAUCUUAGAAGGUAAGUCUGUGCUUCCAUGUUUGGGAACAUAGUCAUCUAGUGUCUCUUUAGUUCGCCAUCUUAAUCCACAUGCAUUGCAAAGCACUGGUUUUGCAGUUGGCCCAGGUCUCCAUAGGCGGGUUUCUGUUUGAGUUCACAAAUAAUUAGCGUUUAAAUGGGACAAUAUAUGAUUAAAAACUUAUAGGUAAAUUAUCUCAGAAACUAAAGCACAAUGAUCAUUGACGAUUAAGAUUUUUUGUAUAAGGUUUAGAAUGUACUGCACGAGAACAUAAGCGUCACGGAAGUGGAGUACGUAUAGCGGGGAAUAUUAUUGGCAAAACAAGAGGAAAUAUCUUUCUGUGAAACAUAUAUAGACUUUUAGGAUGUGUCAACUGCUUUUACACACAUUUUUAUCACCAUUUUAUGGCACCAUACAGCAUAGUUGAACGAGCUUGAUGGUGGAAAUAUUGAAAAGGAUUUGCUUGUUGUGUUAAGGAACAAUGCAAAAUAGUUAACCUCUUGGCAGACUGCAUUUCUUUGCAUGAUAUUUUAAGGAGGAACGCUAUCAACAGUAAAAUGAUUCCCCCACCCCCCCUAAGCAAAUCACCCACUACUCUCCUGCACUGCAAGCUACUGGCCUGACCUCUCACCACCACCGGCGACCAGGUACGGAAUCUCCAUGCCCUCUUUCUUUCUCCCUUUCUGUGUUUUUUUUUUGUUGCACUGCCACCACCCGUCAACAAGAGUCAGUUACCCCAUCCUGAUGACUGACGACCGACAGACCAACGGAGUAUAUACAUUGUAUUUUUUAUCCCCAUCAACUCCUAGGUAUGAUGAUCCACCACACCUUUAUAUGUCUUAUCUAGACCUGAUUUUUCCUUGAGAGAUUGUUCAGACCCUUAUUAUUGCUUGAUUGUUAAACUGAUUUCCUUAAAUCGAUAUUGUGUUUGUGAAUUUAUUAUUGUGCCCUUGUGAAUAUCACUACAUUUUUCUUGGUUCCUACAUUGAACUGGUAUCUUUGCUGUUGCUUUUUUUUAAUGUUCUUCAUUGUAUUGUGUGACUGCCACUUUCUGAUUUAGGGUUUUUGACGUUACGGGUUGCCCUGCUUGAUUAUUUACACUUGGUUAUUCUAUAACUGGAAAGUGGCUUCAAAAGGUUUGAUGGUAGUUAAAAGACAUGUCAAUGAUUUGGGGCGAGGUCAGGUGUGGUAAGGGUACCAAGGGAACUCCUCAGUUGUGAGUUGUCUUGGAACACAGGGAUAUUGUCGAGGAUGUCAAUAGAGUUGGUGAUUAUAAUAAAGAGAAGGAGGAUCAAUAUACCUUGUGUUUAGGAUACCUAAUAGGUAGGAACUAAGGCUAGGGAUAUAGGAGGGUUCAAGUUAAGGUACUCAAGAAGUUUGAGGAUUAAAAAUGGAAUAGGUAUUAGUCUAUGUUGCUCAGAUUUUUCAAAAAUUUCAAGAGGUGCAUGUCAGAUACUCCAAAA